rnacentral:rRNA from 1 species
GACGAACGCUGGCGGCGUGCUUAACACAUGCAAGUCGAACGGAAAGGCCCUGCUUGCAGGGUACUCGAGUGGCGAACGGGUGAGUAACACGUGGGUGAUCUGCCCUGCACUUCGGGAUAAGCCUGGGAAAUUGGGUCUAAUACCGGAUAGGAGCCAUUUUUAGUGUGAUGGUUGGAAAGUUUUUUCGGUGUAGGAUGAGCUCGCGGCCUAUCAGCUUGUUGGUGGGGUAAUGGCCUACCAAGGCGGCGACGGGUAGCCGGCCUGAGAGGGUGGACGGCCACAGUGGGACUGAGAUACGGCCCAGACUCCGACGGGAGGCAGCAGGGGGGAAUAUUGCACAAUGGGCGCAAGCCUGAUGCAGCGACGCCGCGUGGGGGAUGACGGCCUUCGGGUUGUAACCUCCUUUCGCUAGGGACGAAGCUUUUUGUGACGGUACCUAGAGAAGAAGCACCGGCUAACUACGUG